UUUUUGCAAAUUCCUCCAGAAAAUAUCAAACAAUUCAAAUGUCGAAUAGCUGAAAAAGUCAGCUUGUCAAGUAAAAAUUGAAAAUUUAUGAAACAGGCAAUAAAAUUGAUUGAAUAGCGUAUUUGAAUAACGUAUUUAAUAACACAUCUUAUUAGCAAAUUAUCUUGCGAACAACUACAAAAUGUAAAAGUCUGUGGUAACUAUAAACUAUAACAUUUGUUUACCAGCACGAAAACAAACUACGGAGCACUGACAGCUAUAAGAUGCAAACUCAAACCUGUAUUUGUUGCCAUUCUUCGAAAUCUUCAAGUACACGGAUUUGUAGUACUAAUACGUUUUCAUAAGUUAAGAGGUCGUUGUCGAAUGAAAUGUGGCUGCUUAAGUAUUUUUGUUUGGUUUUGUUAUUUUAUGGAGCAAAAGCACAACCUGAUGGUGGUGUAUGCAAAACGCCCUUAGGAACGUCGGGAGUAUGCAUAAGUAUUUUUGAAUGCAGUCCUAUCAUAGCCCUUCUGAAAGCGCCAAGCAGAA
rnacentral:lncRNA from 1 species